AAAAACUUAAAAAUACGUGCAAAAAAGUCAAACGACCUAUAUUUCAAAACGGAUGGAGUAAUUAUUAACAAUAUUGAAUUAGUCUACUAUUAAUCUAGACACUUGCUAUUUUUUUGCUAAUUAAAAGGUAAUGUCUUCCUCCUGGUCCAAACCAGACACCUCGAAACCAUCUGCUUAUCAGUGUUGGCACCUGGUUACAGGAUAGUGGUUUUUGGUGAUGUUACUUGGUCAAAGCUUAACAGAACACAUGACUGGAAGCUUAUGUGUGCAUGCCUUGUAAAUUAUUGGGAGAAUGACAAAGCCCAGAGGCCAGAUUUUAAGUUGUUCUUGUUCACUUCCCCUGUUUUUUUCCAGAAGGUUCAGAAUACCAAGCCAUGUGCCACACAGCAGUGCUGUGGCCGUCUCCUAUUCAAGUAUUCAACUAUGCAAGUAAUGCUCGACUUCUGAAAUUAUUUUGGGGCCAUCUACUGCACUCUCGGGCGCAAUUACUUGUCUAUUACUCGUUUUCGCCACAGGGUUACUCGUCUGAUCACUGCACAAAACGUUGCUGAAAUAGUCCGAGAAAUGUGUGGGCAUGGCCUAUUACUUAUUACCUAUCCCAGGUUUCCCAUAUGCGCCAUACUGUGCUACUUUGGUCCUUGUAAAACUUCUCUCGAUUAUGGCACUUUGUUGGUCUGCUGUAAACUGUUUACCAAGGCAGAUUACCACUUUAAGCAGUUCCGCACUUGGCUAGCUUUCAGGAGUGAAAAUGCUAUAAAAUUAACAAGAAUUGGAAGAUUAGAGAGCAACACACUGCAAAAUUUAGUUAGGUUCUGGGGAAAAAAAAUCUAUCUAUACUGUGCUAUAAUAACAAAAAUGGGUUAGGAUCAGGUUAAAAAGAAAAAUGCUACAUGCACAUAAUUGGAUACAGAAAUAUUCACUCACAGAAUGAGUAUGUGUCAACUUGUGAUUGAAAUGGGCCCUCUGCACAUGCAUUAAUAGCACCAAUUAAAACUCUCCACCUAGAUUGCCAUGUCAUUUUGUGUAAAAUUAUGUACCCAAUUUUGUGCAUGUAGCACUACUCGGUUAAAAAUUUGCUGUUUGUUGAUAAUUUUAUAUAUUUACAUAAUUUGAUUUAUAAUAUAAAAAUUAAUACCUUUAAUAUGAUUUGAUGGUGAAAUCUAUGAUUCUAUGACAGCCAAAAAUUGAAAAUUUUUAAAUUCAUCAAGUAAUUUUUCAGGAACAAAAGCUGCUCUUGAUUUAAUGCCGGAGCCUUAAGUUGUUAACAACUACGGUGCAGCACCAACAACAUAUAUCUUAAAUUUUUUUAUAAUUUACAUACAAUGUUUUAUAUUAAUCAUGGUGCAAUGUUUUAGAAUAAAAAAUUAAAAUUAACUAAUAAAUUUUAUAAACGAUGAUUACUUUUUCAUCCACCUAUGUAAUGUUAUUAUCGAAAUUUACAAAGUUUGUUUGAACAUGCAUGUUUUGAGGCAGAGGUGUAGUAAAUAUUUGAUUUUAUCUUCUGAUUCUUUGCAUGAAUAUGGGCUCAUUGCUGCUGCCGCAUAAUUUAGUUCUAACUGAGAUACUGACGCGAGUACCUAUUGAAUCUCUUUUAUGUUUCCUCUCUGUUUGUAAAUUAUGGAAGCUUACAAUUAUCGACCCCUCGUUAGUAAAAUCUCAUAUGAAUCGCACUUCCCAAAACCCCACUGAUGAAAAUCAAACGUUGAUUGGUGCCUUUGCAUCUGGCAAAGCCUAUAUUCUGAAAGUAACAGAGGUAAUGGACGUGGUAUAUUUUUCCUAUGAUAUUACAAGUGCUGAUACCUUCUCGGAAAUGGUGAAGGAACUAGAGAUUGCUGAUAGGGAUUCAAGUGAAAAUCACAGAUGAAGAUGUGGAACUUCCAACUUGGUUCAAAACUUCCUAUUUAAAUUGCACAGAGGUUCAAUUGCAACGGAAGCGAUGACGGAGAUUGUACUGUACCAUCCUCCACCCUUUCUAUUCCCUCUUCCAAAUUAUUUCAUGUUUCUCUUUAACUAGUGAUUGGACUUAAGGUCACUGCAAUUUGUUUUUCAACUUUACUAGUUAGAAUUGAAUCGAUUUCUUCUUCAUCUGAGUUGAUUGUAUUGAAUGUUUGAGCGAACCUCAAUUGUAAAAAUGCUACACAUAAACCUAAUGUAUUUGAUCUAAAAGCAGAACUUUGAUCAGUUGGAUGUGUGUUGGCUAAACAGUAAGUCCAGUAUGUAUAAUUUUUUAAUAAAGAAAACUAGUACUCCAGUACGUAUACAAAGGUUGCUCCAAUAAACUUUUUAGUAGGCAAUCUUUUAAGUUUAAUUAAUAUCGUUAUGUUUUUCGUAAAUUCUGGUAACUACGUUUAAGGAUGCAGCCUGACAAAACUUGUAAAUCUGUACAAGCAGGCAGCCGCACUAUAAUUAGACGUUCAGAUAAUUGCAGCCAGCUUAUUCUAGAAAAAAAAACCAUAAAGGCAUGGAAUAACUUGAGUAUGGCAAAGCAGUUCCAAGCUUUAACAAUAAUCCAAGACAAAGAAUAGACAAGCAACAACUAAAUGUAUAAAUUAUCAUUGU